UUUGAUUAUGGCUCAGAUUGAACGCUGGCGGCAGGCUUAACACAUGCAAGUCGAGCGGAAACGAAGGUAGCUUGCUACCAGACGUCGAGCGGCGGACGGGUGAGUAAUGCUUAGGAAUCUACCGAGUAGUGGGGGAUAGCCAUUGGAAACGAUGAUUAAUACCGCAUAUAUCCUACGGGGGAAAGCAGGGGACCUUCGGGCCUUGCGCUAUUCGAUGAGCCUGAGUGAGAUUAGCUAGUUGGUGGGGUAAAGGCCUACCAAGGCGACGAUCUCUAGCUGGUCUGAGAGGAUGAUCAGCCACACUGGGACUGAGACACGGCCCAGACUCCUACGGGAGGCAGCAGUGGGGAAUAUUGCACAAUGGACGAAAGUCUGAUGCAGCCAUGCCGCGUGUGUGAAGAAGGCCUUCGGGUUGUAAAGCACUUUCAGCGAGGAGGAAAGGUCAGUAAGUAAUAUUUGCUGGCUGUGACGUUACUCGCAGAAGAAGCACCGGCUAAUUUAGUGCCAGCAGCCGCGGUAAUACUAAAGGUGCAAGCGUUAAUCGGAAUUACUGGGCGUAAAGCGCGCGUAGGUGGUUUGUUAAGUUGGAUGUGAAAGCCCAGGGCUCAACCUUGGAACUGCAUUCAAAACUGACUCACUAGAGUACGAGAGAGGUUAGUGGAAUUUCCUGUGUAGCGGUGAAAUGCGUAGAGAUGGGAAGGAACACCAGUGGCGAAG
rnacentral:rRNA from 1 species